GAUGAACGCUGGCGGCGUGCCUAAUACAUGCAAGUCGAGCGAACGGACGAGAAGCUUGCUUCUCUGAUGUUAGCGGCGGACGGGUGAGUAACACGUGGAUAACCUACCUAUAAGACUGGGAUAACUUCGGGAAACCGUAGCUAAUACCGGAUAAUAUUUUGAACCGCAUGGUUCAAAAGUGAAAGACGGUCUUGCUGUCACUUAUAGAUGGAUCCGCGCUGCAUUAGCUAGUUGGUAAGGUAACGGCUUACCAAGGCGACGAUGCAUAGCCGACCGGAGAGGGAGGUCGGCGAAAAUGGGACUGAGAGAAGGUCCAGAGUACUACGGGAGGAAGAAGUGGGGAAGAUUGAAAAAUGGGUGAAAGCAUGAUGCAGAGACGAAGCGUGAGGGAUGAAGGCCUUCGGGUUGUAAACAGGUUGCAGCAGGGAAGAAGCGUGAGUGACGGUACCUGAAGAAGAAGCAAAGGACAAGUAAGUG
rnacentral:rRNA from 1 species